rnacentral:rRNA from 1 species
UACGUAGGUGGCAAGCGUUGUCCGGAUUUACUGGGCGUAAAGAGCGCGUAGGCGGCUUUCUAAGUCUAUGGUGAAAUCUCCCGGCUUAACUGGGAGGAGUCUGUAGAUACUGGAAGGCUUGAGUAUCGCAGAGGAAAGUGGAAUUCCCGGUGGAGUGGUGAAAUGCGUAGAUAUCGGGAGGAACACCAGAGGCGAAAGCGGCUUUCUGGGCGAUUACUGACGCUGAGGCGCGAAAGCGUGGGGAGCAAACCGG